AUGGGGGCGGGAGGAUCCUGGCGCUGGGCCGUGGGCGCGGUCUGCGGCGGGCUGGUUUACUACCACUGCGCGGUGCGGCGGGCGAGCGCGGUGUCCCUCGCCGCCGACGUGCUCCUCGUCCUCCUCUGCUCCCUCUCCAUCCUCGGCCUCCUCUUCCGCCACCUACACAUCUCGUCUGCAACUUUACAUCGGACACAGAAGGAAAAUGAUGGCCAGCGUACACCCCUGCACUUGCUGCAAUUAAUCUUGUGUUGGCUGAAAGGCAAGCCUUUUCAGCUUCCUCCACCAUUCAGGGUGCCUGUGGAUCCACUUGAGUGGCAGAUUUCUCAAGAGAUGGCAAAUAGUAUAGUUGCGUCCUUGGCUAACACAAUUGGAGCUGCGGAGUCUGUAUUGAGGGUGGCUGCAACUGGACAUGACAAGAAACUCUUGUUCAAGGUGGUUUUUACUCUGUAUUUCCUAGCAGCUUUGGGAAGGGUUGUCUCAGGCGCUGCGAUUGCUUAUGCUGCUCUAUGCAUCUUCUCCCUCUACAUGUUUGCGCAAAGCACCGACCAGUUUGAUCAGCUCCCUUGGGUUCCUUUAGGAAGAGACUCGCUGGGCGGCGCCCAGGAUACCACAUGA
rnacentral:rRNA from 1 species